CCGCCAUGCCCCGGCGGCUCCCGUCCCGCUCCUCCCCGCGCCAGCCCGCGCCGGCUCUCGGGGAAGGGCCAGCCGGGCCCGCGACCCGCGCACCCCGUCCUGAACGAGCCCGGGGCCUUGCUGCCUGCAGUCUGCCGCCUGCUCGCAAAGACCAGGGGCCCCCCAAAGUCGACAGCCUAGAAUUCGGGCCGCGGGCCUGGUGCAUGGGGAGCCCCUCCGCAAAUUUGAGGAGUUGGCGAGAAACCCGUGCGCUCCCCACCCCACACGCACUUUGAGGGUUUUCAGAGGUUUGAGGUGCUGACCGCGUUCCUUGCCGCCUCACCCACGGUCUCGGGUGCCUCCGAGGAGCGGAAAGCUGCCUUCCGGUGGCAGGACCACCAGUGCUUCGCACACCCUCCACCACCACCCAGUGCGGUGCGUGGGGCCCGGAGCAAGCAGGGGCUUGGCGGCUUCCAGUGGCCGUCUGGCCGGGGAGCCCACCAGCCUCCGCUCUUUAUCAGGGCACCAGCUGGUGGAGCCAGCUCGUCGCCCGGGGGCCUGCUUCCCUGAGUCACUGCCAGGGACCCACAGUUCAGGUGAAGAAGGUACUGAUUACCCGGCUUUCACAGGAUGGUCUCGUUUUCAGACAGGAUCUGUCCGCAUGAUGGGAAUGAUGGUCCCUCUGUGGUUCCAGAAUUUUUAGAGCUGAUAGUCUUCACACGAGAGAGGACUUCCUGGUCUCAGCAUCCAGACAGGCCCCUCCCCGCGACGAUCGUAGUGGUCCUGUUUGCGGUGCUCGCCCAUCCUUCGACUGCGCUGCACAAAGGUGUGGAGUACUGUGAUUGGUCAGCCUGGAGCACGUGUAGCCUCCUUGACAAACCCAGCAGAAUCACAUGGUGUGGGGGAAAGACGUCUUCCAAAAGGAAAGAAGAUGGAGUUGACCAAACGUCAGGGUAUAAACGUGCUCAAGAUUGCACAGUGAAUGGCAGAAUGUGGAUGUGAACCCAUCGACAGUGAACAUCCAGGGCGAUGGUGGGAGUGACCUGCCCUGGGUGCAGGCAAGGAGGGUGUGCAAGCUCGACAGAGAA
ensembl:lncRNA